GAUGAACGCUGGCGGCGUGCCUAAUACAUGCAAGUCGAGCGAACAGACGAGGAGCUUGCUCCUUUGACGUUAGCGGCGGACGGGUGAGUAACACGUGGAUAACCUACCUAUAAGACUGGGAUAACUUCGGGAAACCGGAGCUAAUACCGGAUAACAUGUUGAACCGCAUGGUUCAACAGUGGAAGACGGUCUUGCUGUCACUUAUAGAUGGAUCCGCGCCGCAUUAGCUAGUUGGUAAGGUAACGGCUUACCAAGGCAACGAUGCGUAGCCGACCUGAGAGGGUGAUCGGCCACACUGGAACUGAGACACGGUCCAGACUCCUACGGGAGGCAGCAGUAGGGAAUCUUCCGCAAAGGGCGAAAGCCUGACGGAGCAACGCCGCGUGAGUGAAGAAGGUCUUCGGAUCGUAAAACUCUGUUAUUAGGGAAGAACAAAUGUGUAAGUAACUAUGCACGUCUUGACGGUACCUAAUCAGAAAGCCACGGCUAACUACGUG
rnacentral:rRNA from 1 species